rnacentral:rRNA from 1 species
GUGUCAGCCGCCGCGGUAAUACAUAGGGUGCAAGCGUUGUCCGGAAUUAUUGGGCGUAAAGAGCUCGUAGGUGGUUCGAUACGUCGGAUGUGAAAAUCAGGGGCUCAACCCCUGACCUGCAUCCGAUACGGUCGAGCUAGAGUUUGGUAGGGGAGACUGGAAUUCCUGGUGUAGCGGUGGAAUGCGCAGAUAUCAGGAGGAACACCGGUGGCGAAGGCGGGUCUCUGGGCCGUUACUGACGCUGAGGAGCGAAAGCGUGGGGAGCGAACAGGAUUAGAUACCCCAGUAGUCC